rnacentral:lncRNA from 1 species
AAAUUUCUUUUUCAAAACAAGUUAUCCAACAGUAGGUACCUUAUUUCUUCAAGAAUCCCCUUCAGCUUUUGCCCUAGAAGAACAUAAAACCCCAACCCCAUCUAUUUCUCUACCAAAGUCCCCGCCCAUCGCUCUACCAUCAAUCGGAAUAAGAGGGUACAUAGACCUAAAAGCAAAACGAAACCUGAAGGAUUAACGUCAACAAGAAGCCGGCUUGUGAGAAGGGAAGAAAAAUGAAAUACUCGGAAGUUGUAAACGUAUCAAAAUGAGACAACGCUGCUUUGGCCCCUCUGGCUUGUUGGAUACAACUUCAAAUAGAUCGAAUGAGCUGCUGCUAAUACGCUACAUAUUAUCCACGGGGAAGUCAUUACCUCUGGUUCAAGGAACACCACCCCUACAGCUUGUUGGUGCAUCCUGUUUAAGUCAUUACCGCUGCUGAAGUCUCUAACAUAGGAGAGUAUAGCUUAUACUAAAUAGCCUGACAUUGCACUGCAAAUCUUCAAUUGUGUUCAAUAUAUGAAUUCGGAAUGUAAAAGCUACUAUAAAAUGAUUAAUUUGUUCAAAAAAUAAAAAAACCCCGACAUAACAUCAUCACAUGAAUCUCUCAUGGGAAUCCAUCAUUAGAUGCAAAAUACAAUGAACUAGAGAAAACCUUACAUGGUUCAGCUCAUGCUGGAAGACCAUCAUC